rnacentral:lncRNA from 1 species
UUUGGUAAUACAGGGACACAAUUUAAUGAUUUUCUUUGCAUUUGUUUUUACAAGAUUCAGAUGCCAAAAACAAAACAGAACAUUAAGUUACCUGAUUUAAAAAAGAAAGUCACAUACGUUUACAACAUCAAAAGAAUAAGACGAAAUAUAAACCUUUGCUACUUACAAUUGAUCUAUACAGAUUAACCAAAUCACAAAUCUGUCACAAUAUAAACGUUUAAUUGUUACAAUGAAUAAGAACAUACAGAAAAUGAUUUAUUUUUAUAAAAUCUUCCUUUGCUUUUUAUUUUAAACUUACCAUUAACUAAAUUAGCUAUGCAGGACUUGUGGGGUACAUGACUAAGAAGGCACCAACAGUACAAAGCAAAGACAAAGCAGUUUUGAGUAUUUUAAGAGUGCUCUACACUGAUACAACACAAGAAAAGGCAACAAUAGUAAGUAAACCAGCUGCAACCUUUAGAAAUUUGUUCUAGAUUUACAAAGGUAGUCCAACUUGUACAUUUCCUCCAAUGUUUCACCUAGUUUGAUCACAGCACAUGCUACAAAAACCACUGUAAGCUUCACUUGACUAAUGUGCACUUUUCACUAAUUUAGUGUCUUGAUUUCAAUUGUUAACUAAACCAUUUGGAACCACAAAUGUAUUUAAAACUUAGUAAAAGGAUUGUUUGGACUCUUUUGUUGAAACCACUGCAUUUACAAAAAUAUUUCCCCUAAAAUCUGGGAUUGCUUGAAGACAUCGCUGUACAAAUAUAAAAGUACUAUGCAAGGGACCGAACUUGUGAGUACAUGGUGUGUAUGUAUAGACCUAUAUUUAUACCAUAUCACGGUGCUGUAACAACACAAUAAAUUUAUCAGUAACCAAGGACUAUAUAAACUACACUAACAUAAGCAAAUAUAUAUUAAUAAAGUUUAAAUCUAUAGUACAGUUGCUCAGCAAACAUCUUCGACAUGGUAUAAAUAUACUGUAGCAUAUUACAGUGGGCAGCAACAACAGGUUUUUCUUUUUCUCAUUCUCUGUAAGGUUGGAAUGUUUUUGACAGUGAACUGUUUACAUUCCUUAUUCCCAAAGCAUCUUUACC